GAUGAACGCUGGCGGCGUGCCUAAUACAUGCAAGUCGAGCGAACGGACGAGAAGCUUGCUUCUCUGACGUUAGCGGCGGACGGGUGAGUAACACGUGGAUAACCUACCUAUAAGACUGGGAUAACUUCGGGAAACCGGAGCUAAUACCGGAUAAUAUAUUGAACCGCAUGGUUCAAAAGUGAAAGACGGUUUUGCUGUCACUUAUAGAUGGAUCCGCGCCGCAUUAGCUAGUUGGUAAGGUAACGGCUUACCAAGGCAACGAUGCGUAGCCGACCUGAGAGGGUGAUCGGCCACACUGGAACUGAGACACGGUCCAGACUCCUACGGGAGGCAGCAGUAGGGAAUCUUCCGCAAUGGGCGAAAGCCUGACGGAGCAACGCCGCGUGAGUGAUGAAGGUCUUCGGAUCGUAAAACUCUGUUAUUAGGGAAGAACAUAUGUGUAAGUAACUGUGCACAUCUUGACGGUACCUAAUCAGAAAGCCACGGCUAACUACGUG
rnacentral:rRNA from 1 species